GCACUUGGGGCAGCAGAGACACCCUGAUCAGGCAGGUUGUUUUCCCAAGGUGAGGCUCAUCCCCUGUACACCAGGUGUGCUGGCCCCUGCAAUGUGGAGGAUAUCCGAAAUGUGGAUUCCCAAAUGUGGGAACCUUGGCUGCAUACUUUGUGGUAGUGAGGGCCUGCAUUCCCAUGUUCCCUUG
rnacentral:snRNA from 1 species